rnacentral:rRNA from 1 species
CCUACGGGAGGCAGCAGUGAGGAAUAUUGGUCAAUGGUCGGGAGACUGAACCAGCCAAGCCGCGUGAGGGAUGAAGGUACAGCGUAUCGUAAACCUCUUUUGUCAGGGAACAAAGGCGGGGACGCGUCCCCGGAUGAGUGUACCUGAAGAAAAAGCAUCGGCUAACUCCGUGCCCGCAGCCGCGGUAAUAGGGAGGAUGCGAGCGUUAUCCGGAUUUAUGGGGUUUAAAGGGUGCGCAGGCGGUUUGUUAAGUCAGCGGUCAAAGACCGGGGCCAAAACCCGGCCCGCCGUUGAAACUGGCAGUCUCGAGUUGGAGAGAAGUAUGCGGAAUGCGCGGUGUAGCGGUGAAAUGCAUAGAUAUCGCGCAGAACUCCGAUUGCGAAGGCAGCAUGCCGGCUCCACACUGACGCUGAGGCACGAAAGCGUGGGUAUCGAACAGGAUUAGAUACCCCGGUAGUC